AGUAUUUGUUUGUUUCUAGCGUUUAAAAGGUAGUUGAAUUACAAAAGUUAACCUCCCGAAAAUGGCUGAAAUACAGACGUACCUGUAUGGAAAGAAGUUUCCAAACAGAAUUUUUGUUGGAAGUCUUCCUCUAAAUACCAGCGCAGCUGAACUGGCAGAGUUCUUUGGUGUGUUCGGACACGUCACCGAAACAA